AGAUUCUCCAUCAACAGGCUCCAGUGUUCAAAAUCCUCAUCAAAUCUGGGUAUGCACACUUGUGCAAAGCUACUGGCCUCACUCAUCCUUCCAGUAAUCCUCUCUUCUCUAAACUCUCCUUGAUUUCACUCAACUUGGUUACAGUUUGCUUGAUAGGCUCUAAUACCACAAUGAAACGGUAUUGAUCUCGAGCAAUCUGACAUUUCAUUAAGAUGAGGACUGC
rnacentral:lncRNA from 1 species